AUGCUACUGUUUGGAAGAAAAAGACUGCUCCCUGCAGUGUCUGGCUGUGUGAUUCUCUUGCUUGCAAGCUCAAUCCAUGGCGCUUCAGAUAGCCUGGAGGGUCUGAACCACAGCUACAAGAGCGUUCAGCCAUUGGAGCUGACGCCCAAACUGUCGCUGCAGCUCAAGCUCCACGCCUUCCUCCUCUGGUCGUCCGUCGGCUUCCUGAUGCCGAUCGGCGUGCUGCUGAUCAGGUUCUCGAGCAACGUGAAGAGCGCCAAGGCCGUCAGGGUCCUCUUCUACUGCCACGUCGCCGCGCAGGUCGCCGGCGUGGCCCUGGCCACCGCCGCGGCGGCGCUGUCGAUCACCAACUUCGAGAACGCGUUCAACAACACCCACCAGCGGAUCGGGGUCGCCCUCUACGGCCUCGUCUGGCUCCAGCCGCUCAUCGGCUUCCUCAGGCCCGACAGGGGCGUGAAGGCUCGGAGCGUGUGGUACCUGGCGCACUGGCUGCUGGGGGUGGUGGUGUGCGUCGCCGGGGUGGCCAACGUCUACAUCGGCCUCCACACGUACCGGGAGAGGACGGGGAGGAGCGUCGGGCUCUGGACGGCGCUCCUCACCGCCGAGGUCUCCGCCGUGGCGCUCGCCUACCUCCUCCAGGACAGGUGGAACCACAUCGUCCGGCAAGAAGAGGCGGCCACUGGCGAGGAGCGGCGGUCGGAGACGGAGACGUCGUACCCGGCCAACGACCACAAGGAGGUGGCCGUGAUGCCGUAG
rnacentral:rRNA from 1 species